UACGUAGGGACCAAGCGUUGUUCGGAUUUACUGGGCGUAAAGGGCGCGUAGGCGGUCAGCACAAGUCAGUUGUGAAAUCUCCGGGCUUAACUCGGAAAGGUCAACUGAUACUGUGCGACUAGAGUGCAGAAGGGGCAACUGGAAUUCUCGGUGUAGCGGUGAAAUGCGUAGAUAUCGAGAGGAACACCUGCGGCGAAGGCGGGUUGCUGGGCUGACACUGACGCUGAUGCGUGAAAGCCAGGGGAGCGAACGGG
rnacentral:rRNA from 1 species